GAUGAACGCUAGCGAUAGGCUUAACACAUGCAAGUCGAGGGGCAGCAUGGUCUUAGCUUGCUAAGACUGAUGGCGACCGGCGCACGGGUGCGUAACGCGUAUGCAACUUGCCUCACAGAGGGGGAUAACCCGUCGAAAGACGGACUAAUACCGCGUACACUUGGGAUAGGGCAUCCUGACCCAAGGAAAUGAAAUUCGCUGUGAGAUAGGCAUGCGUCCCAUUAGCUAGUUGGUGAGGUAACGGCUCACCAAGGCGACGAUGGGUAGGGGAACUGAGAGGUUGAACCCCCACACUGGUACUGAGACACGGACCAGACUCCUACGGGAGGCAGCAGUGAGGAAUAUUGGUCAAUGGGCGAGAGCCUGAACCAGCCAAGUCGCGUGAAGGAUGACUGUCUUAUGGAUUGUAAACUUCUUUUAUACGGGAAUAACAAGAGUCACGUGUGGCUCCCUGCAUGUACCGUAUGAAUAAGCAGCGGCUAACUCCGUG
rnacentral:rRNA from 1 species